rnacentral:rRNA from 1 species
AUAAAAUAGUUAAAACUUUCAACAAUGGAUCUCUUGGUUCCGGCAUCGAUGAANAACGCANCGAAAUGCGAUAAGUAAUGUGAAUUGCANAAUUCCGUGAAUCAUCNAAUCUUUGAACGCAUAUUGCGCCCUCUGGCAUUCCGGAGGGCAUGCCUGUCCGANCGUCAUUGCCAUCCCUCAAGCCCGGNUUGGGUGUUGGGCCGUCGUCCCCGUUUCCCGGGGGCGGGUCCGAAAGGCAGUGGCGGUACCGGUCCGGUCCUGGAGCGUAUGGGGCUUUGUCACUCCGCUCUGCAUGAUCCGGAUUGGCGCCUGCCCCCCCCCAGUCUUCCUCAUCAGGUUGACCUCGGAUCAGGUAGGGAUACCCGCUGAACUUAAGCAUAUCAAUAAGCGGAGGAA